rnacentral:rRNA from 1 species
CCCUUAGAUGUUCUGGGCCGCACGCGCGCUACACUGAUGCGUUCAGCAAGUCCUCCCCUCGGUCGAGAGGCCCGGGUAAUCUUCUGAAACCGCAUCGUGAUGGGGAUAGAUUAUUGCAAUUAUUAAUCUUCAACGAGGAAUUCCUAGUAAACGCAAGUCAUCAGCUUGCAUUGAUUACGUCCCUGCCCUUUGUACACACCGCCCGUCGCUACUACCGAUUGAAUGUUUUAGUGAGUUUCAGGGACCGGGGCCUUUGGUGGCAACACUGAUGGUUCUAGAAACUGAUGCAAACUUGAGCAUUUAGAGGAAGUAAAAGUCGUAACA